UACGUAGGUGGCAAGCGUUAUCCGGAAUUAUUGGGCGUAAAGCGCGCGCAGGCGGUUUCUUAAGUCUGAUGUGAAAGCCCACGGCUCAACCGUGGAAGGUCAUUGGAAACUGGGGAACUUGAGUGCAGAAGAGAAAAGCGGAAUUCCACGUGUAGCGGUGAAAUGCGUAGAGAUGUGGAGGAACACCAGUGGCGAAGGCGGCUUUUUGGUCUGUAACUGACGCUGAGGCGCGAAAGCGUGGGGAGCAAACAGG
rnacentral:rRNA from 1 species